AGGAACAGAAAAAUUGGACAUAACAAUUGACUUCUAUUUGUUCCACUGGUUAUUCAAGCAAAUAGUAGGGGAGACUGAUUAUAUGAUGCAUCUGGUUAUGGCAGAGUAUUUCAGCUGGUGCAACAGAGAAGAAGCCCAAGAUCUUUCCUCCUUGAAGUCCAAUGUGUUUCCAUCUGCCUCUCUGUUUAUAAUCCCAAGAGUGAAGAAGAAGGCGUAACCACUUCUUCAUCUAAGAAGUGGCUAGGUUUGUGUCCUA